rnacentral:rRNA from 1 species
GAUGAACGCUGGCGGCGUGCUUAACACAUGCAAGUCGAACGGAACGGCCAGUGCUUGCACUGGUACUCGAGUGGCGAACGGGUGAGUAGCACGUGGGUGAUCUGCCCUGCACUUCGGGAUAAGCCUGGGCAACUGGGUCUAAUACCGGAUAGGACAAUGGUUUGGAUGCCGUUGUGGAAAGUUUUUUCGGUGUUGGAUGAGCGCGCGGCCUAUCAGCUUGUUGGUGGGGUAAUGGCCUACCAAGGCGUCGACGGCUAGCCGGCCUGAGAGGGUGUACGGCCACAUGGGAAACGGGAUACGAGCCAGGCUCCUGCGGCAGGCAGGAGUGGGGAAUAUUGCACAAUGGGCGCAAGGCGGAAGCAGCAACGCCGCGUGGGGGAUGACGGACUACGGGCUGUAAACUCCUUACGCUAGGGACGAAGCGUAUUUGUGACGGUACCGGGAGAAGAAGCACCGGCUAACUACGUG